UACGGGGGGGGCAAGCGUUGUCCGGAAUCACUGGGCGUAAAGGGCGCGUAGGUGGCGACCCAAGUCCAUGGUGAAAGCUCGAUGCUCAACAUCGAGUCGGCCACGGAUACUGGGUUGCUCGAGCACUGUAGAGGCUAAUGGAAUUCCGGGUGUAGCGGUGGAAUGCGUAGAGAUCCGGAAGAACACCGGUGGCGAAGGCGGUUAGCUGGGCAGUUGCUGACACUGAGGCGCGACAGCGUGGGGAGCAAACAGG
rnacentral:rRNA from 1 species